GAUCUCGUAGGUGACCUGCGGAGGGUCAUUACACAAAUAUGAAGGCGGGCUGGAACCUCUCGGGGUUACAGCCUUGCUGAAUUAUUCACCCUUGUCUUUUGCGUACUUCUUGUUUCCUUGGUGGGUUCGCCCACCACUAGGACAAACAUAAACCUUUUGUAAUUGCAAUCAGCGUCAGUAACAAAUUAAUAAUUACAACUUUCAACAACGGAUCUCUUGGUUCUGGCAUCGAUGAAGAACGCAGCGAAAUGCGAUAAGUAGUGUGAAUUGCAGAAUUCAGUGAAUCAUCGAAUCUUUGAACGCACAUUGCGCCCUUUGGUAUUCCAAAGGGCAUGCCUGUUCGAGCGUCAUUUGUACCCUCAAGCUUUGCUUGGUGUUGGGCGUCUUGUCUCUAGCUUUGCUGGAGACUCGCCUUAAAGUAAUUGGCAGCCGGCCUACUGGUUUCGGAGCGCAGCACAAGUCGCACUCUCUAUCAGCAAAGGUCUAGCAUCCAUUAAGCCUUUUUUUCAACUUUUGACCUCGGAUCAGGUAGGGAUACCCGCUGAACUUAA
rnacentral:rRNA from 1 species